GACGGAGGCCCCGAGCGUUGUUCGGAAUCACUGGGCUUAAAGCGCGUGUAGGCGGGACGGCAAGUACCUUGUGAAAGCCCCGGCUUCAACCCGGGAAUUGCUCGGUAUACUGCCGUUCUUGAGGCAGGUAGGGGUCACUGGAACCUUAGGUGGAGCGGUGAAAUGCGUAGAUAUCUAAGGGAACGCCUGUGGCGAAAGCGGGUGACUGGGCCUGUCCUGACGCUGAGACGCGAAAGCGUAGGGAGCAAAC
rnacentral:rRNA from 1 species